UACAGAGGGUGCAAGCGUUAAUCGGAUUUACUGGGCGUAAAGCGUGCGUAGGCGGUUCAGUAUGUCGGUCGUGAAAUCCCCGGGCUUAACCUGGGAACUGCGGCCGAAACUGCUGAGCUUGAGUGUGGUAGAGGAAGGUGGAAAUUCCAGGUGUAGCGGUGAAAUGCGUAGAUAUCUGGAGGAACACCGAUGGCGAAGGCAGCCUUCUGGGCCACAACUGACGCUGAGGUACGAAAGCGUGGGUAGCAAACAGG
rnacentral:rRNA from 1 species